GCCGGGCACAUUGGCAUAUACCUGUAAUCCCAGCAGGCCUGGAGGCUGAGACAGGAGGAUCUCAAGUUCAAAGCCAGUCUCAGCAAUUUAAUGAGGCCCAAAGCAACUCAAUGAGAUCUUGUCUCUA
rnacentral:sRNA from 1 species